CAGCAGCCACGGUAAUACGUAGGGGGCAAGCGUUGUCCGGAAUUAUUGGGCGUAAAGCGCGCGCAGGCGGUCAUGUAAGUCUGGUGUUUAAUCCCGGGGCUCAACCCCGGAUCGCACUGGAAACUGGGUGACUUGAGUGCAGAAGAGGAGAGUGGAAUUCCACGUGUAGCGGUGAAAUGCGUAGAGAUGUGGAGGAACACCAGUGGCGAAGGCGACUCUCUGGGCUGUAACUGACGCUGAGGCGCGAAAGCGUGGGGAGCAAACAGGAUUAGAUACCCCUGUAGUCCCUGUCUCUUAUACC
rnacentral:rRNA from 1 species